rnacentral:rRNA from 1 species
UACGUAGGGGGCAAGCGUUGUCCGGAAUUCUUGGGCGUAAAGAGCGUGUAGGCGGUCCGGUACGUCAGCUGUGAAAGUCAAGGGCUCAACCCUUGAAAGCCGGUUGAUACUGUCGGGCUAGAGUCCGGAAGAGGCGAGUGGAAUUCCCGGUGUAGCGGUGAAAUGCGCAGAUAUCGGGAGGAACACCAAUGGCGAAGGCAGCUCGCUGGGACGGUACUGACGCUGAGACGCGAAAGCGUGGGGAGCAAACAGG